UAAAGUAGCAAUCAAGGAUCUGAGUGUUCUGUUGUGAUACAGUUGCAUGUGUUGACCUUUCCUCAGUUACUGAAAAUGAGACCUGCUGAUGCAGUUUUGUUUUAUGUAUCUGCACAGUAAUGAGACAGGAAAGCAACUAGAGACAGGUGCUAUUUGAAGACUGUUCAUAAAUCAUUAAAACAUUGUCAAAAUGAUUGGGACACAGUGUCUGCAAGAGUAAACACAAGAGACAAUGUCGAUUAUUGGUGCAACAAGUAAGGACAGUGUCUGCAAAGGGUGGGGAUACUCAUGCCAAGGUAAAGCAAGGACAGCAGGUUCCAGGAUUCUCCUUUUGAAUGCAGCCAUUAACAGUCAUGUGAACUGAUAAUGAGGACACUGAAAUAUUGGAAACUGAAGGGUGGAAAGAAGUGCAGAUGACAGCUUUAUGGUUGAUCACACAAAAAGGGGCAGGAUGUCCUGUCCUAAUAUUGCUGCUAAGCUGUGUUUUAUGGUCUAAAUUCAAAACAGCCAGAACAAUAAAUGUGUUUUUUGUUUAUCAUUGCCAAAUUACCUUUAGGCAAAAAUAUGGCUUCAUUAAAGCCCCAAUUCUGGAUGCUGUUUUCUUUCUUCUGUUUUCUCUGUUGCUGUCCACUUUCACAUUCAAAUAUAUGAGCUUUGUGUAUUACAUUUUCAUAACAGCCUGCAGUUAAAUAUACUUUUGCCAUAACAAUAAAGAAGCAAUAUGACAUGUGAUGUUAAACCGUGGUAUUAUCAGUCCCUCUGCACAGAAUGAAAAUGAUAAAAGAAGGAUAGAUCAUUACUGUUCAGAUCUGACUGGCAUGCUUAUGAAUGUUGCCAUGCAACUUUUGAUAAUGUUGCCAUGGUAAUAAUCAUUGCUGCAGAGCAUAUGACAGAAAGUUGAUCUGUUACCAAGGCUGUGUUUUGCAGAGCAUUUUCUGAGAGAGUUGUGUCCUCCAGAGUCUGGUACUCUGUCCAUGCAUGUGCAUGACACUCUUUUUUUCACAUGUAACAAGGAUAUCUAUCACAUUAGAUACCACAAGGUGACAUUUUGAGUUUAAUACAGUUAAAUUCUUGUAAAUGGAUAUUCUGUGAGGAAACUUAGUAUAGAGGCAAGACCUAAAAAGCACAUACAGCAGCACAGUAAAUUGUACGUCAGAGAUGCAAAGAAAUGUCCAGAGGGAAACCAUCAGCAGGUGCUGUCAAAGACAAUAUGUGACAGGAUUUCUGAUGCAAUUUAAUUUUUGAUUUUUAAAGAUGUUCGAAUCAUUAAAGUUUUGUGAAUUUCUCAAUCUUGUGUUCACAAAAA